rnacentral:rRNA from 1 species
UACGUAGGGUGCAAGCGUUGUCCGGAAUUAUUGGGCGUAAAGAGCUCGUAGGCGGUUUGUUGCGUCGGCUGUGAAAACCUGAGGCUCAACCUCAGGCCUGCAGUCGAUACGAGCAGACUAGAGUGUUGCAGGGGAGACUGGAAUUCCUGGUGUAGCGGUGAAAUGCGCAGAUAUCAGGAGGAACACCGGUGGCGAAGGCGGGUCUCUGGACAGUUCCUGACACUGAGGCACGAAGGCCUGGGGAGCAAACGGG